GCGCGGCGCACUGCCGGUUCCUCGGACCGCCGCCGACCCGAUGCCGUCCCUUCCAGGCCGCAGCGCUCGGGGACUAGGGCCGGCAGGUCCCGGGGUAGGGGAAAGGUGCAUGGCCCCGUGGUGUGCGCGCGCGCGCGUGUGUGUGCUAGGUGGGGAAAGAGGUGCGGGAAAGCUGCCUCCCUUAGGAGUCACUCCCUCGGGUCUCAGCGUCCCCACCUCCACCCGGUCGCCUUCUUAGGAACUGGAUUUGGUUUUGGAGGACUGCGACCCCCUUCUCCGCCCGCAAUCUCGGUGGUGUGUGCAGGUCGCCCCCCUCUUCCCAGUUCACACCCGGCAGCAAUCUGGACGCCCCCUGUUCCCGGCCCGCGGGGACUGUAGGGACCUUGCGUGGAGAGAGAGUGGUGGCAGGACUGAGCGGGGCGUGUGCGGAGAAGGCUGGAGUUGCUGGAGUAUUGUGUGCUGGCUCGGGUGCUUGUGCCCGGGUGCGCCCUCAAUGCUUUCGGGGACCAGGCUGGGGGUGGAGGGGUCAACGGGUUUGCUGAACUCCCUUCGGAGGGCUGACUGAGCAAAUGCCCUUGGCGCCUUGGGCACGUUUGCACGUCGGUUUAAUGGAGGCACGUGGGAGCAGUGUUGAUCACUGGCGGGUCCCCAAAGACCCUUUGGGGCUGGCCCAGCGCAUGUUCGCGGUUGGGAGGGGGAGGAGAGUGUUGUGGGAAUGUCCGUCCUAGGGAGGAGGAGAGGGUCUCAAGGAGACUUGCUUUUCUUGGAUUUGGUGCAAUUCUGAAAACGCAAACAGGCCCUCGGGGCGUUAAAGUACAUUCCGGGAUGAAGGACCUACCUGUAUUAAAAUCCUGCCGGUGUCAGAAAGACCUCUUGGCACUCUUCCUUUACAUUCAAAUCGGGGAUUGAGCAUUAUGAGGAAAAUACCCUGCCAAACCGCUCUUUAGAUUGCACAAGCGUCUAGUUCAGGUGGCAGUGUAGAAGCCAAAAACGGGAGCUUCCAGAAGUGGUUUCUGAAAGAGAAGAGUUGAACGUACAGGAGUUAAGCAAGUGCGAGAAUCUGAAAAACCGCAGAUGGAGAAACAGUGUUGAAAGGUGGCAACGUCCUUGAAAUCAACAAAGAACUAAAGUUGCACCGAGCUCAACCAGAAGACUAGAAAGGCUUCCUGAUCGGCACCCUCUUGCAGAGAAAUGCCUCGGUGCAACUUUGAAAAGUGCCUGUGUGAUCUGGAACAAAGACGUUUUAUAAUCAGAUUGAUCAAGCUGCGAAGAGGGAGUUUGAACGAACGGAAGCAGCCGCAUUCUGUCACCAGGAAAUACUGCUUUAUCCCGAAUUGGUAAGUGAAAAGUGGCACUGCUCCCUAAUAGAUAUCAUAUGGUGUGUGUGGGAAUUGCAAAAUUGUUCACAGACCCCUGACAACUGUGUUGAGCAGAGAACACAGGAACAGAGUGAGCACUUAGAAAAAAGAGCAGCUCGGGAAUAUAGCAUAAAGGCUGGGAAGAAGGCAGGUAAUUAACAAAAAAAAAAAUGAGCUCUUGCCAGGUUGGCCAAAUAUAUGCCAUGCAGCUGGAGUCGGGGUUUUUCUUUUUCUUUCUGGGGAGGGAGAAGCAUGAAAUCAAAAUGGGCUGUUGGGUGGUUUCGGCAUUCAUUUUCCACGGAUAGCUGGUAGGGAGUUCGAAGGGAUGGCUUUCCGAAUUAAUGGACUUGCCUUCCUUUUCCUCUGUCUACUCCAGGGUGUCAAGCAUUUAGUCAGAACUUUACAAAAUGAAAGCUCAAGUCAUGCAUCGGCAACAUCUCCUCCUGAUUGUGAAGGGCAUAUUCCGGUGCUAACAGAUUUUUCUUUGCCAUUCUGGUCAUGAAUUUCCCAAUUGUUCUGUUUGAUUAUAUAAGUAUAGCAAAAGGGUAGUUCUUUCUAUGUGGUCCAUUCCAUUUUGCGAGCUCGUGAUUAGCAGUUCUUAACUGGCUCCGUGUGCAUGUGUCUGCCUGUCUGCUUCUCAGACCUUGAGUUAGGUUUUCUAAUCUUGAACUUGAGCUGCUCCUGUGUUUCAGGUUUCCAGAAGAAUACAAGAACGCUUUGAAUACCUGUUGUUUAUAUAAUAGGUUCUUGUUCAUGAACUGUAAGGUAACACAAUUUUAUAUUAGGCAUGAAUGUCUGGCUUUCUGAUUCUGCUUCUUCGAAAUGAUUGUGCUGAAAAGGUUGAAUAGAACAAGAAAAGAACAUUAGAAUGGUAGGUGGCUACCUGCUUCUACCAGUUUGUUAUUGGUCAGCAGAAGGAAUCAUGUGCUGUCUACUUAAGAGAAACAGAUGGGAAAGAGUUGUUCUUUAGGUGGUAGCAAUUAUAUAAGGCAAUUUUGAUGAUCUCCAUUUAUGAGUGUAGAUAUAAUAAUUGAAACUGUUAGUAACAGAAUUGGCAGUUGGAAGUUAUAUAAGACAUAAUAUUCACUUCUUUUUAAGUACUGUAAACCAGCUGGAAAGUUGAAUCGCCAUUUCUGACUUUUGGUUCCUGUUCUGUUACUUUCAAAAUCUUCAAACCCUUAGCUCCAAAAGCAAAACUAUAUAAUAAAACAGACGCUAGCAAUGCUGCCGUCCCCUGUUGGCAGUGGAGUGGGAGAAGGGGUUGUGGGGUGGGGGGAUGAAGCUCCUGGGAUCGAUUAAUUGGCUUUUCCUCUCCUCUUUAGAGAUGAUUUCUCGCAGACCGGUACAUCUCAAGACCUUUGUGCAAGUGUUUAUUUCCAUAGAUGAAAAAGGCAAGAUGAGCGUGGCUGUUAAAUCAGGAAAUUGAUGAUGCAAGCCUGUAAUUAUCACCAGUCUUUCGACUUAGUAAGGUGUGGCACCUGUUUCCCUGAAGCCCAUGAAUUUAUAGAUUUUUUAGAAUCUUGUAGACAGAAAAAAUGGUGAGAAAACAUUAAGGUAUUUCCAGGUAGUUUAUAUCCGACUGCUAGCUUGUGUUCAGUGAUUCACAAUUAUUUUCAGCUUGGUAUUUCAUGUAAAUACUCGGGGGAAACAUGGUGACUUAAGAAUCUGGCCAAAAACUGAUAUGCUUGAUGGGGGGGGGGGGGGCUCUGUACAAAUGUUAGUUCUUCCUCAUCCAUUUCGAAGCCAUUGUUUUGAAGGACAAAAAUGUAAUAGAAGCUGGAAAGUAUAUUCCAGAAGAAUUAUAUGAGAGCCUCGUGUUUCCAAGCCUCGUUGCUGUUCUCUGUUCUCAAUUUAUUAAUUUUUAAGAAUACAUUUAAAAUGAAUAAGACAGUAUUGCCCUGAAUUCUCCCUUGAGGUCAUUGAGAGUAUUAGCAUUUUUGUGUACACUGUGAGAAGAUUUUAACACUGAAGGGGCCUUGGUGGAGCGACAGACUUCAAAAUGAUUUCUCUUAAAUACUGCUUGAUAUUUACAUAUUCAAGAAUAGAAACACUUUUCCUCUAGGCUUGUCUCUUAUAUUUUUGGUGUGGCAUACAGAUUUCUAUAGUCCAAUUAAAAGGCUCUUUUGGAGGUAUGGAUAUGUAUGCGUAUAUAUGAGAUCUGCAGGGGAGCUUCAGUCGCUAGCGAAACAAGUGGCUGUUUGUUAGGAGUCAGAUAAGCCUCACAGUGUUGUUCCUAUGACAACUGAGUAGAUGGGUGUUGAAAUGCAGCUUUAAGUUCUCGGCUUGGAAAUGUCAUUCAGACCUCCCACUACAGUCUCAUUGAGUAGGAGGAUAAUGAGAAGGGGAAAAACCGUGAAGCAACAUAAGUAUCUGCGUUCUUUUCGGGUCUUCCUGACUUGCUUUUGUGUACGGGAUCGCCAUGGGAGUGGUAAACAUAGGUCUCGAACAAAGCAAUAUUUCCAUACAAAAUCAAUGGGAAGGGGUCAGAAAAGUUGGGGAAGAUAAAUAAGAACAUAUGGGGGUAAUAAAGAGGCAGGAGAAGUCGGCUUCCACAGGUUGAUACAAAUGCUUUGUCCAGUACUGACCAGCAGGGAGAACAUCUUGAACCAGUUAUUGUAUAGCCCUUCAAGAGCUGCAAAUAUUGCCUUAAAAUGCAAUGUGGAGAAAAUUCCUUUGGUAGCAGGAUGGUUUACCACUUUGGCAUAACAUUUAUUCAUCUCUUGUAGGCUGACUACAGAGGAUACUGUGUUCUUUUAAGGCACAUGCUUUUAAACCAAUUGUUCACUUGUCAUUUAAUAGCUUUUGUCUUUUUUUCCUCCAUGGGAAAGGCAAGAUUGCAGUACUAAAACUUAAAUAUUUUUUUAUCCCAUAUUCAAAAAGGAUUUAAAUCCGUAGCGAUUGUUUGAGACCUGUUGUUUGUGGAAGUGAAUGGCUUGACUGAGAAUCUAUGGAACACAGUAUUGGAAGGGAGCAAUUGUUUAGACUAAUAUUUGGCGUAGAUUAAUUAUGCAGUUGUGGGUUUUCCAUGCCCAAAGGGCUUCCUAUUUUCUACUCCUGAAUGGUUUUGACUAUUUGAUCACCAGCAUCUCUUGAAGUUAGAAAGGAAAAGAUUUCAGUGGGAUUGCCCGAUUUACUUAACAAAUGUAAGUCCAUUAACUUUUUGAACCUACCCCCCCCCAAAAAAAAGCUCUGAAAAUCAAAAGAUUUUCAUGUAAUGAAUUUGAAGCAAAUCUUGGACUGAACCCAGGUGAGGCUAAUUAUAGUCUUCACUUAGCUCACUAAGUGUGAAUCUUUGUAUGUUGUACCAUGGAAAUAUUAAUGUAUUUGAUCAUGGAGUACUGCAUUCCACUUCCUUGGAGCUCUAAUAUGCAUAAUACAUAAUAGUCACUUUAUUACCUUUAUAAAAUAAUAAUCAUAAUCAGUCCAAGUGUCAGAUGAGGACUUAUGGACCUCUCAUUGCUGACAUCCACUGAGCUUAUAUUAUGUGCCAGCACAUAAUGAAUCACUGGCAUCUAGAACAGUGCCUGGCACAUUGUAGAUACUCACUCAGUAGAUGUGUUUUGGUAUAAAAUACUUUACUUGUGUUAACUUAUUGGACUCAUAGGACUUGUAUAUAGCCAAUAUGAUUGUUAUGCCCAUUUUACUUGGGGAAACUGAUGCACUAAGAGGUGAAGCAACUUGCUUAAAGUGACACAGGUGGGAAGUAGUGGAGCCAAAACUUGAAAGCAAGCAGUCCAGCUAUGGUCUGUUCUUACUGAGUCCAACAAGAAAGUCCUGGAGAUGUGGGACCCGAACUCUUUAGCUGAGUUAUUGGGCAGUUUCAGCUAUGUACUUUAUUCUUGAUCACGCUGCUCCUUCUGUCAUCAGAAACUGAUAAUAUUGCUAAUGUGGUCAUUACCAGGGGUAUGCUAUGGAGUGCUUGCAGGUGCUUCAGCUAGAAUUCAUGAAAGGAUACAGAGCAUCUCAUAAAUGCCUAUAAGGUGUCUGUCUAACCCCUAUGUAUGCCUGGGAGUGAGAAAAAACAUUCCAAGUGGAUGGGAACCUCCAUAUUCUAUGCCCAAACUUCCCAUUCCCUUUCUUUGCUUAAUUUUUUUCUUAGGACUUGUCUCUGUUUGUCAUAUUGUGUGGUUUAAUUAUUUGUUUUGUAUUUUAUUCAAACACUAGCUAUUUUGCUGUUUGAACAAAAUUUAAAGUCCUAGAUAUUUCUUUUUUACCUCCACCCUCAAACUCAUUACUUCCCAUCUCUGAUUACUACAAAUAAUGAUUUUUUUUGCCCAUUGGAUUUUCCUUGCUGUUAGUUAUCACUUUCACAUUCACAGCCAUGAGAAUUUCUUUUUCUUAAAAAUAUUGUUUAGGUUAUACAAUCAGAAUUUGAGAAUGGCGUUCUUGGUUUAGGAGGGGAAAGUGAACCAAGUAUGAAUGCAGCCAUUAGAUAUUUUUAAAAUUAGGAAGAUUUAAAAUUAUUAAGGAGAGCAUAUAAAGUAAACACUUUAGGCACUACUUGUAGUUUAAAUAGAGAACCAUAGAACUGUAUGUAACAUUUUAUUUCAGACCCACCUACUUGCUACCCUUUUCCUUUGCAAAACAAAAUAAAUCAAUAUAAAACAAUGAUUCUACAUGUUGUAUUAAACAAUGUAAGUGAUUUAAUCUUGGACAUUUCCUGGCUCAAGUUUUUAAAAAUCUCAACUUUAACCUAUUGUCUCUCAAUCCUACAUUUAUUCUAGUUUAUGCAUUCCAAAAUAUUUAGGAUAAUCUAAAAAACAAAAUAUGUGUGUAUAUUAUUUUUAUGUAUAUGUAUACUGUUAACCAUAAACAAUGUAUUCCAUGUAUAGUUGGCUUUCUUUAGGUUCUGUUUAAAAAGGAACAAAUUAGAUUCAUAUAAAAGUUGAAUUUAAUGCCGUUUAUUAGUAUAAUAACUGAGACAUUUUGUUUUUCUAAGCUACAGCUAAUAGUAAAAUAGUUUCUAGUUGUUUUCUUCUAAGUAGUUAAUUUAAUAAAGUAAUAAGUUUCUUUUGCAUUUAUUUUAAGGUAGAUAAUGGGGUCACUGACUCUGAAGGGCUAGUUAAGAUUUUAUGUGGAAGACUCUCCUCUUUCUACCAUGAGAGAGUUUGAUUCCCCUGAAGCAUGUGUUCUGUUGAAAGUCCAACCUUGCUGGGGUUAUUGGAAGACCUCUUUGCUGUUCCUCCUUCCCUAAAGAAGAUGGACAAAUUUUUUUUUAAAUGAAAAGCUAAAAGUUUUUCUCAACCGGGGUUUAUAUGAUAUGUAUAAAAUGAAAUUAGAGUUUUUAAAAUUGAGAGGAACAGGCCCAGCAAAGCUUUGCAAGGAACUUGCAAAAUUCUCAUUGUCUAAAAGAAAUUCCCAACCCUCCAGACAUUUUUCAGUGAGUAUCAAGUACAAGACAGUGGUCCCCAUGACCCAAAUUACGGUGUCUGCUAACAACAUCCAUUGACAUCUUUGCUCCCUAAGAGUCCAAGGCUUUGGAAACAAGUAGACUUGAACUUUAAGCUCCCUUUGCCUUUUGCUAGCUGAAUAAGCUACUCCAUUUAUUUCCCUGUGGCCCGGAGCCUGAAGCGUUUAGAACAAGCUCACAGAGCUGUUGGGUGGGAUAGCAUGUGUACAGCACAUGCCAUGGAACCUGCAGUGGUGGUGCUUAACACAUUCACAUCCUUUCCCAAAUCUUUUUAGCAGAGACCUCUUCAGUUGGGUCGCAAAGACUGCUGGACUCAUGCUAAAUUGUAUCACUUUUUUUCCACAUCAGAUCAAGCAAAAACAGUGAUGCUGCCAUUUUUUCACCAUUUUCUGUGUUCUAGGUAGGUACCGUUAUGAGUGCUGUUAUCUGCAUGAACCUGUUUAAUCUCCAGGGCAACCUAUUGGUACACUUCAUUAUGCCCAUUUCAUAGAUGAGGGUGCUGAGGUGCAGAAAGGUAGAGGAGCUUAUUUAGAGCCAGGACUUUGGCAGAAUAAAAGUUGACUGAACCUGAAAGUCUCAGAAAUAAUCUUCUCAUUUCGAUUCUGUUAAAUGUCACCAUCUUCCAGGCCUGGCCCUCUCAGUAUUGAAAUACAAAAUUGACUUUUUCUACUUCUUAUUUUACAAAUCAAUGGGACCCAUCUUAGUCAUCUGUGUUUUAUGAGUUUUAACUAGACCACUGAAGUUCAGGAGGGGAAUUCCUUGUUUUCAAUUGAUCUCAUCCACUAACAGAUUUACUCAUGUAACUUCCCCUAUUUUUUCUUAAUGUUUUCACUUGAAAGAGGGGGUGGGGAGGGAAUAGUUUGUGUAGGCAUUUGGAUCCCAGGGAUGCACUUUUGUCAACCUUUCUAGAGACUCUGGUGUAGGAUUAACCCAUAGAGGACUAAAAUGAGUACAAAUCUGUAUUUACUCAUCUUUUUCUCCUUUAUCUCCAUCUGGUUCUGGCUGUUUUCCAGAGAGGUAAAACUUCUAAGAAAAGAAUUACAGGAAGCUAUCUCUGUUCAUAAAACCUUAUGUUUGGAUGAUGAGUUAAUUUUCUGAAACAAAAAGGGGGGUGGGGCUUCACAUUGAGAAUUUCCUCUUCUUUCAAUUCUAGGUUGGGAAUUUGAUUUAGAAGGUGGGAUAGACCACCCUCGCUCAUGGGUUCAAAGUGCUUGGAAAUCCUUUAAAAACUUCCCUGGCCUUGGACUGAGCCUAUCUAUGGGAAACUCUAUUAAUCACGCCAGCCUUCAUUCUUUCAUUUAUUUGCCCAUCCAUUCAUUUAUCCGUAUUUUCCUAUGAUUCAUUCAGCGUGUACCCGCAGACAGAUGAAAGGGAAGACCGAGUGAGAGUGCAUUAGGGGACAGAAAAGGAGUAGCUGUAAACUCACUCUUUGUUCCUUUCACCUCCCAAACGGUGUCUUUUCUUAGCCCAUUUGCCGCAUUUCACAGAGUGACACAAAAGUCCUUUAGCAUCUUCCUUUGGUAGCCAGGCUUCUUUUUUCAAGUGCUGGGGGAGAAGAGGCUUGUGAGGGGCAAGCAAUGCAGUGAAAUAUUGUUUUCUUUUUCUUGUCUUUUUAAUGGUGGUGGUGGAAUGUGUCAGUAAGUAUGGCCUAAGAAUGCUUGAGCUUUCAAAUCAGUUCUCUAAGUUUAAAGGUUAUUAAGAGCCCACAAGGAUGCCUUGGACAAUAUUUUUUAAAUCGACAUUUAAACCAAUUUUUAAGGCCAGGAGUUCUAUUCUGACUUUCAUCACAUUUAUUUUUGAAACUAUCUCCACUUAAUGAUGUGAGAAAUGAAAAGUAUGCUGUGUUUUGGGGGGAACAUGAAGGUAGGGAGGAGGGCUUUAGUCUAACACUUGUAGCCAAUAAUAUUGUUCUUGAAGACACACACAGAGUCAUUGUCUUUCCUGGUGAUUGAGUAUUGAGUUAAACCUUGGAGUUGUUUCCCAUGGAUUCUGAAAGCCACAUCACUAACCAUUUGAGUUCUUUUUGAUGGCACAAACUGCUUCCUCUGUGUGUUUUUUGAUGCAGGUUUGUCCACAGCAAGAAUGGCAGUGAAAAUCUUUGUCUUUCAACAUGAAGUGUGAAGUUUCCAUCACUAGUAGGUAUAUACAGCCUGGUGGGGGGAAAAUGUUAAUAUAGAUUUCAAAAACAAACACAAAAUCAACAUCACCCACAGUCUAAAAGGAUGUGUCAGUAUCUCAGGGCUCUUCUGUCAGAGCGAGAUCAAACAAGGACUGCUCGGGACAGGUCACGUUGACAACGGUGGGGAGUUCCUACUUUUCUUCCCUUCCUAGUAGACAUCCAUACUCCCAGGAAACCCUCUCUUUAUUUAUUUACCCAUGGCCAGCAGGGAGACUAUAGAGAAGCUUUCCUUUUCUCUUCACCCCUGCACAAUUUCUCAUCAUACCGGGGAAAUGGCUUAUUUUAUUAUAGCUUUGUCUACCUGGCCCUUGAAACAUGUGGAGUUUUGGUAAAGGAAUAAUAAAAAUGGUCUCAGAUGCCAACUAGACUUCAAAGGUUACAGCAGAACAGUGGACAAAGGCACCACAUGAAUAAUGUUCUUUUUACAAAAAUGGAUUGCUCUUACUUACCAAGUGCUGAACAGUGUUCUGGAUCUAUGAAUACAGCAGUGAGCACGGUCCCUGUUCUCAUAGAGAAGGGCAUGCUAACAGUGAUUGAAUGAAUAAUGCAUACCAGGUGUUAGGAAAUGCUGUGGCGAAAACAAAAACCAAAUCAGACUGACAGGGAGUAUCAGGGGUUCGGGGUAGAGCUUCUUUAUCCACAGUUGAUGGGAAGGCCUAUCUGAUGUGACAUUUGUGCAGACUUAGCCAUGGGAUAUGAGGGGCCAGCCAUUAGGAUAUCUGGAGGAAGAAGACUCCAGGCAGGGAAAACAAAAUAAUUAACUGCAGUGGAGGGAGGAGCAAGCUUGGUGUGUCCAAGGUGCACUUCUUAGCAGAUCAUGCUGGCCAUAGUAAGAAGCUACUGGAAGGUAGAUGAUAACUUGAAAGGAGGAUGGUAUUCCAAGGGUGCAGGUGAUCUGCGUAAGGAUCCUGGAGAAUAGAACUUUGGUGACUCGUAAAUAGAGUGUAUGGAAGUUGCAUCUGGCUUUCUUUUGAUAAAAUAUUACAUUUUUAAUUUAAAUCAUGAUGAUAUCAAAAUCUUGGUAAAAAAAGAAGAUAAAAUUGAGCUAUUUGAAGCACAAACACUGCUAGAGAACCCGAUGUGGAUAAUUCUUCCCUCACAUAGGCUCUUCGGAGAGGUGUGAGGUGCUGGGGUGCCUAGCUGUGGGCUACUUUGAUUUAUAUAUGCUAAAAACUUCGUUUCUACAGGGGCCUAAAUUUGCUGAUUUUGCACUCAAUAACAAGCCGUUUGGAAUUUUGAACUACAUGGAGUUUCAGUAAUUUUGUGUUAAAAGUGUUCCUUUUUUGUAAUGCGCAGUUUUCUGGUCAGUCAACUGAAAAGUUACCUCUUAUAAUUCUGUGUGCAAAUUGACUGCUUGUUACAAGUUAAGGAGCUGUGUUACACAGUAUUUGUUUUAUAAUGGGAGGCCUAAGAGAGUAUAGAAAGAUGAAAGCAGUUAGCCAGUUGGGAAGGUGAGAUUAUAGGUACUUUUCGCCUUUAAAGUUGCAUUAAAAACAGGUUUGCAGUUUCUGAAAGGUAAAGGUGAUUGCUAAAAAUGAAUUGUAGCUCUUUGUUAUCCCUCUGUUAGCACAAUCUGUGUACUUUUUGUGUAAGGGCUGUGCAAUUUUUGUCAUCUGAGGGGAGUUUACAAACACGCUAAGAGACAUGUCUUGGGUAAGGACAUAUGGUCUAUAGGAGGGUGUGUCCAAAAGUUCAUGAAAAAUGCAGUGAAAGGGUAUUCAUUUUGGUGCCCCAAAUUUUUGAAGUCCAUGCGUAGUUUUUUUUUUAUAAUACAUCUUCCAUGAACCUUUGGAACAUCCCUCAUAUGCACGAAUUUAAAAAUUUUGGGCACUGAAAUAAACUUAAUAUUCUUUCAGGGGGCUCUUUGAAGCUCCCUGCUGCAUAUCAGUAUAUCUACAGCAGGACUUUGUAAUCAGGCCUCACAACAUACAGGGCUUACCAGGGCCUUAAUAGCUGUUUGUGAGUGUUGCCCGGAUUUCCCUUACUUCCCACCAUCUGAUAUUUUAUUCCUCUUGAUCCCCUAGUCUGACUUUCUACUACUUAGGCAUGUAUUUGGGUUAACCUUCAUAGUCUUUUAGCAAGGGAUCCACCUGUAGAAAAAAGUUACUGGUUUUCUCAUUUAUAGCUUAGUUCAACUGGACCGGAUUUCCUUGCUGCCUCUGGCUGAAACUGACUGACUGAAUCAGUUUCACUUGUGGGGAGGAGAAAUGAGUACUUCAGGAACAGAGAGUGUGUGUGUGUGUGUGGGGGGGGGGGGGCUGUGUUUGCUCCUUUCCAUCUGCCCCUAAAGGCAAGAACACUGCCUUGAGAGAGGGAGAGAGAAUUGGGGUAGCAAGAGGAAGCUGACUCCCCUGGAUGGACCAGUGCUGUGGGGGGGGGCAGGCAAAGGUAGGAUGUAGGGUGGUUGGCCAAUCUUUGGUUGCAAGCCCAGGUGCUGUCAGCCUCAGGUCCUCCUGGUGUCCCAGGCACAGACAGCACUGUCCAUUCCUGCUUAUCUCCUGUGAGCUGAAGAGAGAGAGAGUGCUCUUGACUUAGUGAGUGCCCUUUCUCUGAGGAGCCUUGGGAAGACACGGAAUUUGGGAACGAACUUUCCAGACAAUCCGUGUUCCCGAAUCCUCCCUGGUACAUCUCUCUACUGCAUGUACUUUCUAGGUGCAGUCUAAAGAGGUAGACACUAAGGCUCCUUUUCUACCAGUCUCUGACUUCUUGCAUUGAGGGCACCACAGGCGUUGUCCAAGAAGUGGCUGCAUUCUAUGUGGUCCUUCCUCUAAGGCCACUCUUGGUCUUGAUCUCAGUCUGGGUCUCAGUCUCCUGGGGUUUCAGCCGUUUGGCCCCAUGAGCCCCGGGACUUCCCCCUUGUCUUCCCCCAUAUAAAUAGACAACUUGCUGCCUCUGUUCUCAACCCUUGAUAUUUCUGCUUGCGACUUGAGUGUCUUCUGAAACGAUUGUGCGGUAGCUGGGCACUGCAAAAUGAGUCAGUUCCUGCAGUUCGGUUACAAGUUCUCAAAAAGUAUUUCAGAAUGUGGAUGUGGUCAGCAGAGUCAUUUUCCAGGCAUCUCAAAGGAAACCCACAUCAACUGUAACAAUUGAGCUGCGAACCGAUGGCUCUGCUUAUCCUCAAAGCAAAGCCUGGAGGGGCCCUCCAGUCUCGCCCUCUCCACAGAUCCUAAAUGGGACUCCAUCUUCAUGCUUGGAAAUCACAUUGCAUCCACUACCAUUUGCACAAACAAUGCAAUAGAGGUUUUGGCCUUUUUCAAUGUCUGAAUGUGGGCUCAAGUUUGACAGAAGAAAUUAGUUUAGCAAAAGAGAAUCUAUGGGAUUACAAAUACAAUUAGUAGGAAGCGUAAUAUGUGGCUGCAGGACAUAAACUUUUGGCAAUUUAGCUAAUGCACCGAGGAAUAACUAAAGUGGUUUAGGUACCACUUGAGUACAUGGAUGUAUGAUUAUUUUGUUUACUCCUUAAGUUCUGGACCCAAGUAGACUUAGUAACAAUGCUGACAAAAAUAAUUCCUUUUCAAAGUUUAAAAGAACUGCAAGUUUGUGAUAAUAUUUACAGAAUAUUUUAGUUUAGCAUGGGUUUUAGAAAAUAAUCAUUGUGAAGGUUUUUUAAAUAUUUUCUUGUGUACCAUGAAUUAUGUCAUGUUGAUUGAGUUCAGUUACCAGUCUUGCACCACUCAUUAGACCCAAGGCAUUUUUCAGUAUUAAGAAAACAAAUAACAAAGAAAAAACAUGCACAAAUGAUCUGAACAAGUUUCACCAAAGAAAAUAUACAAAAUACAGAUAAGCACAUGAAAAUAUGUUCAAUAACAUUAAUCAAUCAAGAGGGAAUCCCAAAUAAAAAAUGCAAUCACAUACCAUGACCCUCCUAUUUGAAUGGCUAAAAUUAAAAAGAAUGACUAUACCAAGUGUUGGUGAGGAUGUGGAGAAUCUAGAACUCUCACACAUUUAGGUAGAAAGAAAGAAUCAUACAAACAAUGAGGGUGCUGGUUAAUUUCACUAACUUGAUUUUGGUGAUACUUUUAUGGUGGUAUUCACAUGUCAAACAUAACAAACUUCAUACUUUGAAUACAUGCUGUUUGAGCUCAAUGAAUAGAAAAUGUUAAGAAAUCACUGUUAGACCAGAUGGAGAAUUUUUAAAUGUCCUUAUUUGGUAAAAUAAAAAAUAGCAUCUCUUGGGGAAAAGUUUUGAUAGUUUUUAAUGGUUUGAGGAUAGAAAUACAGCCUUCUAGUACAGACAAGAACCCAAAGUUAAACAGUGAACAUAAUAAACGUGAUAUCUUUAGUUCCUCCUGUUUAUAAGGCAUUUAAACAAGUGGUUCCAGAAGCCUCUUUUCCAGCACAGUGGGACCAGCUGCCUGGAUGGUUUGUAUGCAUUUGAACUUGUACACAAGUACUGUAGCACUCACCAUACGAUGAGACUAAGGCAUUUGAAACUGGGCCCAGAUUGCAAAGAUAAGACAUGAAAAUGGCCACCUUGGAUUUGACCAUGGGUAGGCAAAUAAACCUCUUAGAUUUUCAGAGUGACUGCAAAUUUAUUUUAUUACUUUCUUUAGCCUUAUUGAGGUAUAAUUUACAAAUGAGAGUUGCAUAUGUUUAUAGUAUACAGCAUGAUGUUUUGAUAUGUUGUAUAUAUCGUGAAAUGAUUACCACAAUCAAGCUAAUUAGCCUAUCUCACCUCACAUAGUGGGGUGUGUGUGUGUGUGCGCGUGCGCUGAGAAUGUUUUGAGAUCUACUCUCAGUAAAUUUCAAGUAUAUAAUACAGAAUUGCUAGCUCUAAAGCAUUUUCCUAAACCUCGUGUGUGUGAUGUUCACAAUGGUCCUGUGAUAAGUAGGGUCAGUGUUCUUUUCAUUUACUUGGGGAGCAAACGGAGACCCAGAUUGCUACUUUCCUGGAUCAGACAGCCCCCUUCUUCAUCAUGGUCACAGGUCACAUGGUCACAUGGUCUCCACUACACCUUGCUGCUAACCCAAACUCAUGUCCUUGACUGUUUGGCUAAGACUCGGUUCAUCAAUUAGUUAGGCAGUUACUAGAGUCCCUUUUAUUUGUAUGUGAAGCAUUCAAGGCAAUGAUCUCUUCUAAUCCCCUGGCUCUCCAUCUGUAAAUGACUAAUAACAAAACCAGCAGCUUCCCAAGAAACUGGACAGCCUUGUGUAUUCAGCAGGUGUUGAUGUUUACUGUGUUAUCACCCUCACUGCGCCUGAAAUAUUGAUGACAUGGUACUGAGUGAGUGGUUUUGUAAACCCAACAGGGAGACACAGCAACUUAAUUCCAUUAGUCACCCCAUGACUUUGUUCAUAGUUGGAAAGUUGCACAAUAAAUGGGGCCCUGCGCACUCGAUUAUUUUAAAUUCUUCUUUAAAGGACACUAAAUUGCCUCAUUAGUUGAGUCCUAGUGACACAAAACAGAGCUAAAGGCAAGUGCCGUCGGGGUUUACUUAGCCAAGAAGGUUGGCCCAUGCUCUUUCCUCCUCUAUUGCUGUGACUGUGCAUCUCCCCUCCUCUCUGCCUUUUGUCAUUUUCAGCGGCCUUCUCUCUUCACUGCCCCUCUUCCUUUUAACAUUCCCCAUUUAGGGACAGCUGUCUUGGGAGAAUUCCUGAUGAAUCUGUCGCCAUGGAAACUUCUCCCAAGCACAUGUGAUGAAUUGUAUGGAAGCCGUUAUAAUCUUUGGGACUCUUCCAUAAAACCCAUUUUCAGGAAAGGUGAAUAUAAUAAAAAUUGGGUUGAACAACAUCAAAUAGAUUUGU